rnacentral:rRNA from 1 species
CCUACGGGAGGCAGCAGUGGGGAAUAUUGGACAAUGGGGGGAACCCUGAUCCAGCCAUGCCGCGUGUGUGAAGAAGGCCCUCGGGUUGUAAAGCACUUUCAGUGAGGAAGAACGCCUGGUGGUUAAUACCCAUCAGGAAAGACAUCACUCACAGAAGAAGCACCGGCUAACUCCGUGCCAGCAGCCGCGGUAAUACGGAGGGUGCGAGCGUUAAUCGGAAUUACUGGGCGUAAAGCGCGCGUAGGUGGCUUGAUAAGCCGGUUGUGAAAGCCCCGGGCUCAACCUGGGAACGGCAUCCGGGGCGGUCGAGCGAGAGGGCAAGAGAGGAAGAGAGAAUUCCCGGUCUAGCGCUGACACGCGGAGUGAGCGGGAGGAAUACGAGUGGCAGAGGCGGCCUUAUGGAGUGACAGUCACCCUGGUGUGCCAUGGCGUUGGUCACCCACAGCACCAGAUGACCUUGGGGUA